rnacentral:rRNA from 1 species
UACAGAGGGUGCAAGCGUUAAUCGGAAUUACUGGGCGUAAAGCGUGCGUAGACGGUUAUUUAAGUCGGAUGUGAAAUCCCCAGGCUCAACCUGGGAACUGCAUCCGAUACUGGAUGGCUUGAAUUCGGGAGAGGGAUGCAGAAUUCCAGGUGUAGCGGUGAAAUGCGUAGAUAUCUGGAGGAAUACCGGUGGCGAAGGCGGCAUCCUGGACCGACAUUGACGCUGAGGAGCGAAAGCCAGGGGAGCAAACAGG